rnacentral:sRNA from 1 species
GCUGGGCAUGGUGGUACAUGCCUGUAAUCCAAGUGACUCAGGAGGCUGAAGCAAGAAGAUUGUUUUAAAAGCCAACCUCCGCAACAUAGGCCCUUAAAAACUUAUCAAGACCUUGUCUCAA